rnacentral:lncRNA from 1 species
CACACACACACGCGCUACACAUAUACACAUGAGUAAACACACAUAUUUGUAAAUCAAUUGUUAUCAAAUGAUACACAAUAAUACUGAUAAUUGAUCAAAUUAAUUUUAUUUAGACCAAAUAGGUCAGAUACACAUUUCAUUUGAAAAAUGAGCGGGAAAUUAUCGCCCCUUGUCUCAACAAAAGACUUGAAAGUAAACCAUUAAAACUAACAUUUCUUUUGUGUACUCUGGCGAAUUUCAGC